GGACCGCGGUAUCAAUAACCGUGCGAAGGUAGCAUCAUCAUUUGUCUUUUAAUUGAAGGCUGGAAUGAAUGGUCGAACGAGAAGUAAGCUGUCUCUUUAAUGUAUACUGAAUUUCACCUUUAAGUGAAAAGGCUUAAAUGUCACGGGGGGACGAUAAGACCCUAUAAAGCUUUACGAUUACUUGAACUGUCUCCGAAUUUGAGGUAUAAGGGAGGCAGGUAUCGGUGUCGUUUCGUUGGGGCGACGAGAAUAUAACACAGUAACUGUUCUUAAAAUAAAACGGUUGUGAUCGGUUGAGUGGACCCUUUAUUAAGGAUCAUUAGAUUAAGUUCCUUUAGGGAUAACAGCGUUAUUUCCCUUGAGAGUUCAUAUCGACAGGGUAAGUUGCGACCUCGAUGUUGAAUUAAGGUUCCAUUCAGGU
rnacentral:rRNA from 1 species